AGAGUUUGAUCAUGGCUCAGGACGAACGCUGGCGGCGUGCCUAAUACAUGCAAGUCGAGCGAGCUUGCCUAGAUGAUUUUAGUGCUUGCACUAAAUGAAACUAGAUACAAGCGAGCGGCGGACGGGUGAGUAACACGUGGGUAACCUGCCCAAGAGACUGGGAUAACACCUGGAAACAGAUGCUAAUACCGGAUAACAACACUAGACGCAUGUCUAGAGUUUGAAAGAUGGUUCUGCUAUCACUCUUGGAUGGACCUGCGGUGCAUUAGCUAGUUGGUAAGGUAACGGCUUACCAAGGCAAUGAUGCAUAGCCGAGUUGAGAGACUGAUCGGCCACAUUGGGACUGAGACACGGCCCAAACUCCUACGGGAGGCAGCAGUAGGGAAUCUUCCACAAUGGACGAAAGUCUGAUGGAGCAACGCCGCGUGAGUGAAGAAGGGUUUCGGCUCGUAAAGCUCUGUUGGUAGUGAAGAAAGAUAGAGGUAGUAACUGGCCUUUAUUUGACGGUAAUUACUUAGAAAGUCACGGCUAACUACGUGCCAGCAGCCGCGGUAAUACGUAGGUGGCAAGCGUUGUCCGGAUUUAUUGGGCGUAAAGCGAGUGCAGGCGGUUCAAUAAGUCUGAUGUGAAAGCCUUCGGCUCAACCGGAGAAUUGCAUCAGAAACUGUUGAACUUGAGUGCAGAAGAGGAGAGUGGAACUCCAUGUGUAGCGGUGGAAUGCGUAGAUAUAUGGAAGAACACCAGUGGCGAAGGCGGCUCUCUGGUCUGCAACUGACGCUGAGGCUCGAAAGCAUGGGCAGCGAACAGGAUUAGAUACCCUAGUAGUCCAUGCCGUAAACGAUGAGUGCUAAGUGUUGGGAGGUUUCCGCCUCUCAGUGCUGCAGCU
rnacentral:rRNA from 1 species